AAAUUUUUUUUUGAGUUUAAAAUGACCUGAUACAUUCAUUCGAUUGAAAAGGCUAAGCAAAAAACAAAAAUCUACAUGGCCUCCAUCUUUCACUCAUCCAUUAUCUUUGAUGGGCAAUGCAUCGGGCCCUAAUUACAUUAAAUCAAAUCUCCUAAAUGUAAAAGCAAUAGAACAAAAAAGAAACCAAACAAACCUAAAGAAAUUCCUAAGAAAAUAAGAAACCCUAAUGAGUGGCUUAGCCCUCCCCUAAUCUUCCCUUCCUUUGCAUCGAUACUACUCAAGGUGAGAUUGUGGUGACCUUGACCCAAAUAUUUCUAUACUUUGCCGUGUUCCCUAGUCUCACAAGCUGCUGAGAUUCCCCAGAUUCCCAAAAGCCUUGCCUUUCCUCCGGUUUCAAUACUCAACCUUAUUGUCUAAAAACACUUAUCCUCCAUUUCUGUCCUCACUUAAAAGGUGACCCACUUCUGAAGAGAUCUCUUCCACCCAGAAUCUCGGCGAGUCGAACUGUCGUCCCUAAACCGCCAGUCUGUACGCCACUCCGUUUGCUGUUCCAGGGAUAUGUUUGAAAGCUAAGUAUAUAAAUCUUUGAAUUUUGCAUUUUAUUUCAUUUAUAGUGUUCCCAAUAAUCGAUCUGUCAAGUUCUUCAGAUUUAAAUUUAUUAACCACUGUCAAAGCAUCACUUUCGACACUGACCUCUCUGAAUCUCAGAUCCUCUGCGAAGAUCACUGCUUGCAGACACGCUUUGGCUUCAGUAGUGGUCGGGUCGCUCACUUUAUCCCACGAGUAAACGCAUAUUUCCAUAACUAAUCAUGUACCAUUUCUGAUAAUAAUGUCUGCGAUUGCUCUGUUUGAUUGUUUUAAAAACGAUGCAUCAAAAUUAAUUUUCACUUGACUUACUUCUACUGGCUCUCAAUUGCUCUUGCUUGUGGUAGCUUUGUUCUCUAUUAGUGUUUCCAACUGUGUUAUUUCUGCCUUAUGGGCUUGGAUGGAUCCCACCACAUUUUGUAAAGAGACUUUAACACCUUCAUGGAAUAGCUAGUCCCUAUUAUAUCAAAUUUCCCAAAUAGUGAUGGCUAAGUUUAUGCACUACUCUUGAUUAUUAUUUCUAAAAAAUUUUACUAACCAUUGGUUCCACUCCUACUACAUGUCACUACUUAGUGGGGAAAUUUCGAUUUCGUUCAAGACCUAUUUUGUGAAGGUACAAUCUCGAAAAUCAUGUGGUAUCGUUUGCUCUUCCUUGCUACAGAUUGGGUAGAGGACUUUAUCUCGAAGCCGUCUAUUUACCAGAUUUUUUAGUGUUGGUAGAUAAUUAUGUGUAGCUUUGCAUAGACUGAUCAUGAUUUUACUUGGGAUUUUGAAUUGCCAUAGCUUUGUAAACUAGUAAUAUGUAUCUUCAGUGUAGUCUGUAUUGUUGAAAUUUUGAGAGGUUUGUCCCUCUUUAAUAAGCCAUCGUAUCCCCUCUUGACUGUAUAAACUCUAGAGCUAUCUCCCUUCCACACAACUUCGUCUUUUUGUGAUGUGUUCACUAGCGGAAUGGCUAGAAUUCUUUCUGCUUGGCCUUUGUGGAAAAUUCCUUGAACCACAUCAUUUUUCUAGGACUUGGUAUCCAUGUGUCAUUCCAAAGGUUCACCAGGUUACCGUUGCCAAUUCUCCACCCUAGCCUUUUUUCUAACAGGCUUUGAGCCCCUCAAAUACUUCGCCAAGUAAAAGAAGGGUAAGACCCUAAUCUCGCACUCAAAAAUUCUCCCCUCGAAUAGUAUUUAUAUUUUAGAACUGGUGCAAGCAAACAAUCUGGUUUGACAAUUAGUUUCCAUUACUGUUUAGUUAACAGGGUCGUAUUAAACAUUGUAAGAUCCCUAAAGCCAAUCCCUUUGCGAUUUUGUGGUGCACAUUGCAUUCUAUUCUCACCAAUGAAUAGCUUUGUUGGUCUUUAAA